rnacentral:rRNA from 1 species
AUGGCCAGGAACUAUGGUGGAUUGUACAACAUCGCCCGCUGGGGUGAACCCUACUUCACCGUGAACCAGGACGGCCACCUCUGUGUCAAUACCCAUGGCGAUCAGAGGGAAUCAGGGCAAGAGAUCGACGUGCUGCACGUGAUUCAAGCUGCAAAGGAUAGCGUCCAGUUUCCAAUGAUCCUCCGCUUCCCCGGCCUGCUCAAGCACCACCUCGACUCGCUCCACACCGCAUUCGACAAUGCCAUCAAGAACACCGGGUACAUGGCACGAUAUCAGGGCGUGUUCCCAGUGAAGGUGAACCAGAACAAGGCCAUCAUCCAGGACUUUGUUCACUUCGGCCACGGUUACAACUAUGGGCUGGAGGCUGGCUCCAAGCCCGAAUUGCUCAUCGCAAUGAGCUGCCUUACCAAGGCCAAUAGUAAAGCCUUUCUGGUGUGUAAUGGCUACAAGGACGCGGAGUACGUGGCGCUGGCGCUCUCGGCGCGUGCCAUGGGUCUAAAUGCCAUCAUCGUGAUGGAGAUGGAGGAGGAGUUGGACAUCAUCAUCGACCAGAGCAACAAGCUCGGGGUGGAUCCGGUCGUGGGCGUGCGUGCCAAGCUGCUCACCAAGAUACCAGGCCACUUCGGGUCGACGGCCGGCAAGCACGGCAAGUUCGGGCUGCCUGCGAAGAAGAUCUACGAGGUGGCCAACAGGCUCAGGCACCUCGAAAAGCUGCAGUGGCUCAAGUUGCUGCACUUCCAUAUCGGCUCCAUGAUCCCGUCCACGGAGAUCGUGUCCAAGGCAGCCACCGAGGCCGCCGACAUCUACUGUACCCUGGUGAAUGAGUAUGGCGCGAGGAUGGACACGCUGGACUGCGGUGGGGGGCUCGGCGUCGACUACGACGGGACCCGGUCCGGCUCCGACAUGUCGGUGGCGUACGGGCUGGAGGAGUACGCAUCCAGCAUUGUGCAGGCAGUGCGGGUCAAGUGCGAGGACAAUGGCGUUGACCACCCUGUGCUGUGCACCGAGAGCGGCCGCGCCAUGGUCUCACACCACUCGAUGAUCAUCCUUGAGGCGCUCUCAGCAAUCCCCGAGCCAAAGGACGACGAGGAGACCACCCCCGAAGAGCUGCAGGCCAUGAUCGAUGAUCUCUCCUCGAAGAAGUGGUUGAAGGGUGAUGACGACGCGGCGGUGGCCAAGCCCAUGUCUUCCCACGCUGCGGAGAUCAAGGAGCACGGCAUCGAGAUAUACAAGGUGGCCAAGAAGCUCGCCAAGAGUGUCAUGGCUAAAGAGACCACCAUCUACAACUACCACAUGAACCUCUCCAUCUUCUCGCUGGUUCCCGACUGCUGGGGCAUCCAGCAGCUGUUCCCGAUGAUGCCCGUGAGCCGGCUCCACGAGAGGCCGACCAACAUGGCCACGCUCAUUGACCUCACCUGCGACAGCGACGGUAAGGUCGAAAAGUUCAUCCGUGGCGCCCAGACACUGCCGCUGCACCCGCUGGACCCCAAGCUCGGUGGCUACUACGUGGCCGUGCUCCUGUCCGGCGCGUACCAGGAAGCCCUUUCUAGCAAGCACAACCUGUUCGGUGGCCCAAGCAUUGUGCGGGUCGACGAAAGCGGCGGCAUCGUCACAGCGGACCUGGGCGCUACAACGGAGGAGCUCAUCAGUACCAUGAGGUACGAUGUCAAUCAGGACAUCCUCGACGUGAUCCACGAGCGGGCCGAAGAGCAUGGGGUGUGGAAGAUGGUGGGGGAGAUCGUGAAGGCCGGGCUUACCACCAUGCCCUACCUCAUCGAAUACCAGGUCCCGCUCCCAGGAACCGCCUAG